UACUUUUCUGGUUAUUCCUGCCAGUAGUCAUAUGCUUGUCUCAAAAAUUAAGCCAUGCAAGUGUAAGUACGAACUCUCGUAUAGUGAAACUGCGAAUGGCUCAUUAAAUCAGUUAUGGUUCAUUUGAUCGUACGCUUUAAUACAUGGAUAACUGUGGCAAAUCUAGAGCUAAUACAUGCAUGAAGCGCCGACUUUUUGGGGGUGUGCAUUUAUCAGACCAAAACUGACCAGGCUUCGGCCUGUCGCGCUGGUGACUCUGGGUAACUUUGCGGAUCGCACGGUUUUGCACCGGCGACAACUUUUUAAAGCAACUGCCCUAUCAACUAUCGUCGGUAGGGUAUCCGCCUACCGGGGUUGUAACGGGUGACGGGGAAUCAGGGUUCGAUUCCGGAGGGGAAGCCUGAGAAACGGCUACCCCAUCCAAGGAAGGCAGCAGGCGCGCAAAUUACCCAUUCCCGACACGGGGGGGUAGUGACGAAAAAUAACAAUACAGGCCUCGAACGGGGUCCUGUAAUUGGAAUGAGUACACUUUAAACGCUUUAACGAGUAUCCAUUGGGGGGCAAGUCUGGUGCCAGCAGCCGCGGUAAUUCCAGCUCCAAAAGUGUAUAUUUAAGUUGUUGCGGUUGAAAAGCUCGUAGUUGGAUUUCGGGAUUGGUCGUUUUGUCCGCCUAUCGGCGCGCACUCGACGUGCCGUCCUAUCGGUUCGGUUUUUCGUCGGUGCUUUUCACCGAGUGUCGGCGUGGUGCGAAGUGUUUACCUUGAAAAAAUUAGAGUGUUCAAAGCAGGCGUGGCAGCCUGAAUAAUGUUGCAUGGAAUAAUGGAAUAGGACCUCGGUUCUAUUUUGUUGGUUUUCGGAGCGCGGGGUAAUGAUUAAGGGGAACGGACGGGGGCAUCCGUACUGUGCCGUUAGGGGUGAAAUUUUUGGAUCGGCGCAAAACGAACGACUGCGAAGGCAUUUGUCAAAAAUGUUUUUUUUAAUCAAAAGCGAAAGUCAGGGGUUCGAAAACGAUCAGAUACCGUCCUAGUUCUGACCUUAAACGAUGCCGACUAGCGAUCGGGCAGUGUCGUACCUAUGAGACCUGCCCGGCAGCUUCCGGGAAACCAAAGUUUUUGGGUUCCGGGGGAAGUAUGGUUGCAAAGCUGAAACUUAAAGGAAUUGACGGAAGGGCACCCCCAGGAGUGGAGCCUGCGGCUUAAUUUGACUCAACACGGGGAAUCUCACCCGGCCCGGACACAGCGGGGAUUGACAGAUUGAGAGCUUUUUCUUGAUUCUGUGGGUGGUGGUGCAUGGCCGUUUUUAGUUGGUGGAGCGAUUUGUCUGGUUAAUUCCGAUAACGAACGAGACUUUUACUUGCUAAAUAGUCGCUUCACCGCCAAUGGCGGCGGAGUCGGACUUUUUAGGGGGACUAGUGGCGUUUAGCCCCACGAGAUUGAGCAAUAACAGGUCUGUGAUGCCCUUAGAUGUUCGGGGCCGCACGCGCGCUACACUGACCGGAUCAUCGUGCUUUAAAAGUCCUGGUUCGAAAAAACUGGGUAAUCCGUUGAACCCCGGUCGUGCUAGGGAUAGGGACUUGCAAUUGUUUCCCUUGAACGGGGAAUUCCCAGUAAGCGCGAGUCAUCAGCUCGCGUUGAUUACGUCCCUGCCCUUUGUACACACCGCCCGUCGCUACUACCGAUUGAAUGGUUUAGUGGGGUUUUCCGAUUGGCCAGAGCGUAGUCGGCAACGACGGCGCUUUUGUCCGAAAAAACGAUCGAACUUGAUCAUUUAGGGGAAGUAAAAGUCGUAACAAAA
rnacentral:rRNA from 1 species